AUUGGAGUGGUUCAUUAAACAGUUUUUCCUUUAACGUUUAGAUACAAAAUUUUAAUAUAAAACUCUCCAGUAUUCAAUUUGCUUAUUGAAUUGUGAAAUCCCAUGUUUCAAGACAAAGAAGUAGUGCGGAUUUUAAAGUAUCAAUCCGCAGUGACCACUUUUUUUUUAAAUAACUUUAUUGAACACAACACAAAAACCGCAGUGACCACGUGCUGACAAUAUACCAAUCAUGACAUCAGAAAGAGGAGGAGUCGCGUGGCUGGGAGAGGUUAAAAUGAGUCAAAUAGCGGCAAAAGUUAGGAGGGAGUUUGAGCGAGGUCAGGAUCAGGACCAGGACUCUGGGUUUCCCUUCCACUGUUUAAGUUCAGAGGAGUUUCCUUCCUUCCUUCCCCUAAGCUCCCAUUUAACAGAUUUCUUUCUUGGUGCCAAUUCAAAUUUCGUUAUGGAGUACCACUUUUUCUGUCAGGUAUGCUGUUCCAAGUUUACAACAGUAACACUUUUCAAGAAGCAUUUGUCUUCCUUUGAACAUAAAAAGGAAAUGGGAGCCUUGUUUCAACAAACUCCAUUUCAGAUCUCUGGGACUCUGCCCUGCAUUGCUUUCGUGGAUCCAAAUCUCAAACACAAAAUGACGAAACCAGUUGUUGGCCUGUCCAUGCUGACUCUGUGUUUUAGUACUCUAAGACACAGCUCUUUUUACCUGUGCCACAUCUGUGAGAAAGUCUGUUCACUUAAUAAGAUUUUGGAUCACAUUUUUUCUGACAAACAUUACAGUAACUAUUCGAGCAACACAAACCCAGAUGAUCAGAAUCUUUCCUGGAUCUCCAACAUGGAUAUGAAAGCGUUUCUUUUUCCAAAGCUCAAACAAGCGGAUACUACAUCAGUGCUGCAGAUUUUGGAUCUACCCAAAGAACUCUUUGAAAAACUCUUAUUUAAACCAUAUUCCGAAGGUAACUACCAAUUCAAUGAGCACAAUAUUGGUUUUGGAAUUUUUGAAUGUUUUAUAAUCAAACUUCUUCUUUUUUGCAGUGAUGGCCACUUUAAGUGAGAAUCUGAAGCUUUACAAAAUGUUUAAAGGUAGUAGGCAUUUUAUGUGGGAUUAUAUAUUUAAAGUUCUUUUGUUUGCUUUUUUACAUUUCUUCGUGUUUAUUCUCAUAGCUCUCAAAUUCGCCUGACUAAUAAUUGUCACCUUUUCAAAUUUGCCUAAAACAGAGUUAAACUAAAAUAAACCCUCAAUGUAUCUGCAGAUACACAAUAACACUGCAUUUUCAUUGUACAGUUCAUGUACAGUUUUUGUACAAACUUUUAACUUGACAUCAUCUUUGCAUGAAGAUCCCUCAACAUUAAAAUAUAAUUAUAAUUCAAUAAAAUAAGUUGUUCCUCAGAAACUGAAACAAGGACAUAUUUUUUGGACAAAGUUUCCUUUAUAUGUCACCAUCUUAUGUUUGUUCUUGAAUGUUCUGCCUCUGGCUUUGCUUACAUUAGUGUCUUCAGGCACACGGCCAAAGAAUGUUCCAUUCUUUAAUAAUAAAACAAUGGGAUUUGUCAGUUGAACUGUCUCUACUGUUCCAAAAUGAUAUUUAACUUUGUUAUGAUUUUAAGUUCAAAUACUCCAAGAAGCAUAAUAAAAUCCUAGGAAUCAGAGGCAUCAGUCUAAUGUACAGUAAAUGUAAAAAGACAUGAUUCAGCAUUAUUCCACAUUAAAUUAUUAAAGAAACUACAUAUUUAACACAAAUCUAAACAGUUGUGAUUUAUAGUUGUGUGACUUAAGUCAUUUAUGUUUCAUAAUAUGAACUAUUUCCUUUAUGUAAUUUAAUCUGUUUUUCCUUUAGAUUUCCAGCCAACAAGAACAGAUAUUCUUGCGGACCAAAAUGACGGCAAUAGGAAGCAUCCACUUGUCGGUCUGUAAAACUUAUAGCUACGUUCUAAAGUUUGGACAUGUGACUUUUUAAUAGCCUUAACUAAUAACUGGGACAGCUGCUGGUCACAAAUAUUAUUUCUAAAAGUAUUUGCCCAUACAUUGAUGUUUUAAAAGUGUCAUUAAAAACGACCAAGUGCCAUGACUUUUUUUGGUGUUUUUUUUUUUUUAAUAAUAUUUUAGAAUACUUGACCCUCUUUUCCCCCAGAAGCAUGUUUGUUACAUGUUUUAAACACUGAUGUUUACAUCCUUAAACUGUACAACAUAAGCCCAGUUUUUUCACAUGUUUUUCUGUUUCUAUUUUACAGAGAAUCAGACUGCCAGUUCCAAAUCUCCAUCAUUAAAAAAUGUCAAAUGCAAACUUCGCUGCCAGGUAAUCAUUUGUAUUAAAGCAUCAGUUUACCUUUUGUUUCAAUUCUAUUAGCAGCAAUACAAUAGGCAUAACCUUUUGCAACAUAUUUUUUCUUUUUCUUUAUUUUGACAGA
rnacentral:lncRNA from 1 species